AGCCGCGGUAAUUCCAGCUCCAAUAGCGUAUAUUAAAGUUGUUGCAGUUAAAAAGCUCGUAGUUGAACUUCGGGGUCUACCCAUUGGUCAGGCUUAAUUGUCUGCACUGGUGAGAUGGAUCUCUACCUUCUGAGGAACUUUCAUGCCAUUUAUUUAGUGUGAUUGGAAAUCAGGACUGUUACUUUGAAAAAAUUAGAGUGUUUAAAGCAGACUAUCGUCUGAAUACAUUAGCAUGGAAUAAUGAAAUAGGACGGACUGAUUCUAUUUCGUUGGUUUCUAGGAUCACCGUAAUGAUUAAUAGGGAUAGUUGGGGGCAUUAGUAUUCAAUUGUCAGAGGUGAAAUUCUUGGAUUUAUUGAAGACUAACUACUGCGAAAGCAUUUGCCAAGGAUGUUUUCAUUAAUCAAGAACGAAAGUUAGGGGAUCGAAGACGAUCAGAUACCGUCGUAGUCUUAACCAUAAACUAUGCCGACUAGGGAUCGGACGAAGUUAAUUUUAUAAUGACGCGUUCGGCACCUUACG
rnacentral:rRNA from 1 species